UGAAACUGAUCUCCCCGUGAAGAAGCGGGGAUAAGUAUAUUAGACGAGAAGACCCCAUGGAGCUUUAAACCCGACAGCACCCACUUAUUUAACACCUUCUUAUCCGCCUGGCCCCUGUCUGCUCGGUUUUGGGUUGGGGUGACCGCGGAGCAUAAAAUAGCCUCCACGAAAGAAGGGAUGAUUCCCUCAUUUUAGAACUACACUUCCAAAGACUAA
rnacentral:rRNA from 1 species